UUUCAUUUAUUUUCUUAUAGAUUUAUUAUGUAUGUGCCAUACAUAUACUGUGUAAUACUUAUCUCGAAACCACAUUGAACUGCAUAUGACCGGAGCGGACAUGAACGCUAGACCGUGCAAUUUACAAUUUAUCAUCUCUCAGUCACCAUGUUGAUUUUAAUUCCAAAGGUCAACCAGCACACCAAGUUACAGAAGCAUAUUUUUCUCUUCGUACACACACUUCGUUCAUCACAAUAAUACAUACUUUUGGUACACUUAUCCUUUUUUUCUCUUUUUAUUUCUCUCUUACACAGAAGAUUCUCUCGGUAAACUUUUCUAUAUUAAAUAAUGGAUCAGUUAGACAUUUAAUUCGAAAACCCAGACAUAAUGGUAACUUUUACGAUCGUAAAAAUAGCAUUCAGUUUAGUAUUGAAUGCUCUUUCGUCAAAUAUAUUUGUAUUACACAAGUGCGCAUAAACCAAAGCAGUACAGUCUUAGUUCAUCUGAGCGAAAUAUUCAAUCAUAUCACUUAGUGUUAGUCGGUACAGUGAGAUGAUGUGAAUUAAACAAACGACCGUAAGUGACAAAUAAGCCAUGUGAAAAGAAGAUGGAAUAUAUAAGAGUUAAAAUUCUUCGCCGUUCUGCAAAAUAGUGCGAAAGAAUAAUACAAGACUUUAAAACAUUCAAGUUGUUUCUGAAAUACAAGCGAUAAGGCUGAAUCUAUCAAAAAAGCAAACGAAAAAAAGACAGCG